rnacentral:rRNA from 1 species
UGCUCCCUGAUGUUAGCGGCGGACGGGUGAGUAACACGUGGGUAACCUGCCUGUAAGACUGGGAUAACUCCGGGAAACCGGGGCUAAUACCGGAUGGUUGUUUGAACCGCAUGGUUCAAACAUAAAAGGUGGCUUCGGCUACCACUUACAGAUGGACCCGCGGCGCAUUAGCUAGUUGGUGAGGUAACGGCUCACCAAGGCAACGAUGCGUAGCCGACCUGAGAGGGUGAUCGGCCACACUGGGACUGAGACACGGCCCAGACUCCUACGGGAGGCAGCAGUAGGGAAUCUUCCGCAAUGGACGAAAGUCUGACGGAGCAACGCCGCGUGAGUGAUGAAGGUUUUCGGAUCGUAAAGCUCUGUUGUUAGGGAAGAACAAGUACCGUUCGAAUAGGGCGGUACCUUGACGGUACCUAACCAGAAAGCCACGGCUAACUACGUGCCAGCAGCCGCGGUAAUACGUAGGUGGCAAGCGUUGUCCGGAAUUAUUGGGCGUAAAGGGCUCGCAGGCGGUUUCUUAAGUCUGAUGUGAAAGCCCCCGGCUCAACCGGGGAGGGUCAUUGGAAACUGGGGAACUUGAGUGCAGAAGAGGAGAGUGGAAUUCCACGUGUAGCGGUGAAAUGCGUAGAGAUGUGGAGGAACACCAGUGGCGAAGGCGACUCUCUGGUCUGUAACUGACGCUGAGGAGCGAAAGCGUGGGGAGCGAACAGGAUUAGAUACCCUGGUAGUCCACGCCGUAAACGAUGAGUGCUAAGUGUUAGGGGGUUUCCGCCCCUUAGUGCUGCAGCUAACGCAUUAAGCACUCCGCCUGGGGAGUACGGUCGCAAGACUGAAACUCAAAGGAAUUGACGGGGGCCCGCACAAGCGGUGGAGCAUGUGGUUUAAUUCGAAGCAACGCGAAGAACCUUACCAGGUCUUGACAUCCUCUGACAAUCCUAGAGAUAGGACGUCCCCUUCGGGGGCAGAGUGACAGGUGGUGCAUGGUUGUCGUCAGCUCGUGUCGUGAGAUGUUGGGUUAAGUCCCGCAACGAGCGCAACCCUUGAUCUUAGUUGCCAGCAUUCAGUUGGGCACUCUAAGGUGACUGCCGGUGACAAACCGGAGGAAGGUGGGGAUGACGUCAAAUCAUCAUGCCCCUUAUGACCUGGGCUACACACGUGCUACAAUGGACAGAACAAAGGGCAGCGAAACCGCGAGGUUAAGCCAAUCCCACAAAUCUGUUCUCAGUUCGGAUCGCAGUCUGCAACUCGACUGCGUGAAGCAGGAAUCGGUAGUAAUCGCGGAUCAGCCU